UACCAGCACCCCGAGUGGUCGGGACGUUUAUUGGGCGUAAAGCGCACGUAGGCGGCUUUGUAAGUUAGAGGUGAAAGCCCAGGGCUUAACCCUGGAAUUGCCUUUAAGACUGCAUCGCUAGAAUCGUGGAGAGGUGAGUGGAAUUCCGGGUGUAGCGGUGGAAUGCGUAGAGAUCCGGAAGAACACCGGUGGCGAAGGCGGUCUGCUGGGGUAAUGCUGACACUGAUGCGCGACAGCGUGGGGAGCAAACAGG
rnacentral:rRNA from 1 species